CCUGCAUAGAACAAUAAGCCUGAGCAGAAGAGAACUGCACCUUCCUGACUGCUUUUGAGCUUGGCUAUCCCUUUUUUCCUGCAUUCAUACUUGAGCUGGAACAUUGGCUCUUCCUGGUUCUUCAUCCUCCAGAAUACCUGACCAGAACUAUACCCUCUCCUUGGUGUCCAGCUUGCUAAAUGAAGAUCUGGGACUUAUCCGCCUACAAAAUCAUGUUGUCAAGCUCCAGAUGAUCCUCAGCGAAGGAUACUGUCCUCUCCGUAUUCCAGUGUCACCCUUCUACAGGGGACCUCUGGACUGCCCACCAGUGGAACAUGACAGAGACAAAAUCUUAGCUAGUAAGAGGCUGAUACCCAUGGGGCAACCACUGCUCCUCUGUCAGCAGCAGUUACAGAAAACUGACCUUCGCUCAUUAUCUCUAAGAAUUGGAUCUUGGACAUUUGAGUGGGGAAAUGUUAGAGUAGUUAGUUAGACAGAUAUUAGCAGGGCAAGAGAGGGCACCCAGAAAUGGUAGGCACUCAUUGGGUGAUGGUCAGGUGACCAUAAAACUAUCCCUCUGAAAUGGUAAGUGGCCACAAUUGGUGCAAAGAGGGAAAGGAGUUUCCCAACAAAUAGAAAACACCUGGAGCCAGCAAACCACAAUUCCCUGUUAAGUUUCUAAGCAUGUGGACUAGGGGGCAAAAUGGCAAAG
rnacentral:lncRNA from 10 species